UACGGGGGGGGUAAGCGUUGUUCGGAUUCAUUGGGCGUAAAGGGUGUGUAGGUGGCGCGCUAAGUCGGGUGUGAAAUUUCGGAGCUUAACUCCGAAACUGCAUUCGAUACUGGCGUGCUUGAGGACUGGAGAGGAGACUGGAAUUCAUGGUGUAGCAGUGAAAUGCGUAGAGAUCAUGAGGAAGACCAGUGGCGAAGGCGGGUCUCUGGACAGUUCCUGACACUGAGACACGAAGGCCAGGGGAGCAAACGGG
rnacentral:rRNA from 1 species